rnacentral:rRNA from 1 species
UACGUAGGGGGCAAGCGUUGUCCGGAAUCAUUGGGCGUAAAGCGCGUGUAGGCGGCUGAGUAAGUCUGCUCUGAAAGCCCGGGGCUCAACCCCGGGAGGCGGGUGGAUACUGCUCAGCUCGAGUCCGGAAGAGGAGAGUGGAAUUCCUGGUGUAGCGGUGAAAUGCGCAGAUAUCAGGAAGCACACCCGUGGCUAAGGCGGCGCUCUAGUACGGUACUGACGCUGAGACGCGAAAGCGUGGGGAGCGAACAGG